GACAGAGGUGCCAAGCGUUAGGCGGAAUCACUGGGCUUAAAGCGUGUGUAGGCGGAUUGGUAAGUACCUUGUGAAAUCCCAUAGCUCAACUAUGGAACUGCUUGGUAUACUGCCUGUCUUGAGCUACUUAGGGGCAACCGGAACAAAUGGUGGAGCGGUGAAAUGCGUAGAUAUCAGGAGGAACACCGGUGGCGAAGGCGGGUCUCUGGGCCGAUACUGACGCUGAGGAGCGAAAGCGUGGGGAGCGAACAGG
rnacentral:rRNA from 1 species